rnacentral:rRNA from 1 species
UGGGGAAUAUUGCACAAUGGGCGCAAGCCUGAUGCAGCCAUGCCGCGUGUAUGAAGAAGGCCUUCGGGUUGUAAAGUACUUUCAGCGGGGAGGAAGGGAGUAAAGUUAAUACCUUUGCUCAUUGACGUUACCCGCAGAAGAAGCACCGGCUAACUCCGUGCCAGCAGCCGCGGUAAUACGGAGGGUGCAAGCGUUAAUCGGAAUUACUGGGCGUAAAGCGCACGCAGGCGGUUUGUUAAGUCAGAUGUGAAAUCCCCGGGCUCAACCUGGGAACUGCAUCUGAUACUGGCAAGCUUGAGUCUCGUAGAGGGGGGUAGAAUUCCCGGUGUAGCGCUGAAAUGCGUAGAGCUCUGGAGGAAUACCGGUGGCGAAGGCGGCCCCCUGGACGAAGACUGACGCUCAGGUGCGAAAGCGUGGGGAGCAAACAGG